AUCGAACGCUGGCGGCAUGCCUUACACAUGCAAGUCGAACGGCAGCACGGGAGCAAUCCUGGUGGCGAGUGGCGAACGGGUGAGUAAUAUAUCGGAACGUGCCCAGUCGUGGGGAUAACGUAGCGAAAGCUACGCUAAUACCGCAUACGAUCUAUGGAUGAAAGCGGGGGAUCGCAAGACCUCGCGCGAUUGGAGCGGCCGAUAUCAGAUUAGGUAGUUGGUGAGGUAAAGGCUCACCAAGCCGACGAUCUGUAGCUGGCCUGAGAGGACGACCAGCCACACUGGGACUGAGACACGGCCCAGACUCCUACGGGAGGCAGCAGUGGGGAAUUUUGGACAAUGGGCGCAAGCCUGAUCCAGCAAUGCCGCGUGCAGGAUGAAGGCCUCGGUUGUAACUAGUCUUUGUUACGGAACGAAACGGUAGAGGCUCUAAUACAGUU
rnacentral:rRNA from 1 species